AGAGAUCAUGGCUCAGGAUGAACGCUAGCGGCAGGCCUAAUACAUGCAAGUCGAACGGAGUGGAGUAGCAAUACUUCACUUAGUGGCGCACGGGUGCGUAACGCGUAUGCAACCUACCUUUUAUUGGGGGAUAGCCCGUCGAAAGACGGAUUAAUACCGCAUAACACUGUUUGAGGGCAUCUGAAGACAGUUAAAGCUGAGGCGAUAAGAGAUGGGCAUGCGUGCCAUUAGCUAGUUGGUUGAGGUAACGGCUCACCAAGGCGACGAUGGCUAGGGGUUCUGAGAGGAUGAUCCCCCACACUGGUACUGAGAUACGGACCAGACUCCUACGGGAGGCAGCAGUAGGGAAUAUUGGGCAAUGGGCGCAAGCCUGACCCAGCCAUGCCGCGUGCAGGAUGAAGGCCUUCUGGGUUGUAAACUGCUUUUAUCUAGGAAGAAAAUACCCUUGCGAGGGGACCUGACGGUACUAGAGGAAUAAGCACCGGCUAACUCCGUGCCAGCAGCCGCGGUAAUACGGAGGGUGCAAGCGUUGUCCGGAUUUAUUGGGUUUAAAGGGUGCGUAGGCGGCUUGAUAAGUCCGUGGUGAAAGCCAACAGCUCAACUGUUGAACUGCCACGGAUACUGUCGGGCUUGAGUACAGACGAGGUAGGCGGAAUGGAUGGUGUAGCGGUGAAAUGCAUAGAUACCAUCCAGAACACCGAUUGCGUAGGCAGCUUACUAGGCUGUAACUGACGCUGAGGCACGAAAGCGUGGGGAGCGAACAGGAUUAGAUACCCUGGUAGUCCACGCUGUAAACGAUGAUUACUCGAUGUUGGCGAUACACAGUCAGCGUCUUAGCGAAAGCGUUAAGUAAUCCACCUGGGGAGUACGCCCGCAAGGGUGAAACUCAAAGGAAUUGACGGGGGCCCGCACAAGCGGUGGA
rnacentral:rRNA from 1 species